rnacentral:tRNA from 1 species
ACGUUGCUGGUGCAGUGGUUAGCAUACCACCUUCCCAUUGAUAUGAUGAGAAUAGGUGGUGACACGAGUUCGAAUCUCGUGCAGCGUA